rnacentral:rRNA from 1 species
CUUUUGUGGGGUGCUCGAGUGGCGAACGGGUGAGUAACACGUGAGUAACCUGCCCUUGACUUUGGGAUAACUUCAGGAAACUGGGGCUAAUACCGGAUAGGAGCUCCUGCUGCAUGGUGGGGGUUGGAAAGUUUCGGCGGUUGGGGAUGGACUCGCGGCUUAUCAGCUUGUUGGUGGGGUAGUGGCUUACCAAGGCUUUGACGGGUAGCCGGCCUGAGAGGGUGACCGGCCACAUUGGGACUGAGAUACGGCCCAGACUCCUACGGGAGGCAGCAGUGGGGAAUAUUGCACAAUGGGCGGAAGCCUGAUGCAGCAACGCCGCGUGCGGGAUGACGGCCUUCGGGUUGUAAACCGCUUUCGCCUGUGACGAAGCGUGAGUGACGGUAAUGGGUAAAGAAGCACCGGCUAACUACGUGCCAGCAGCCGCGGUGAUACGUAGGGUGCGAGCGUUGUCCGGAUUUAUUGGGCGUAAAGGGCUCGUAGGUGGUUGAUCGCGUCGGAAGUGUAAUCUUGGGGCUUAACCCUGAGCGUGCUUUCGAUACGGGUUGACUUGAGGAAGGUAGGGGAGAAUGGAAUUCCUGGUGGAGCGGUGGAAUGCGCAGAUAUCAGAGGAACACCAGUGGCGAAGGCGGUUCUCUGGGCCUUUCCUGACGCUGAGGAGCGAAAGCGUGGGGAGCGAACAGGCUUAGAUACCCUGGUAGUCCACGCUGUAAACGGUGGGUACUAGGUGUGGGGUCCAUUCCACGGGUUCCGUGCCGUACUAACGCUUUAAGUACCCCGCCUGGGGAGUACGGCCGCAAGGCUAAAAACUCAAAGGAAUUGAC